AGUGAACGCUGGCGGUAGGCCUAACACAUGCAAGUCGAACGGCAGCACAGUAAGAGCUUGCUCUUACGGGUGGCGAGUGUCGGACGGGUGAUGAUUACAUCGGAAUCUACUUUUUCGUGGGGGAUAACGUAGGGAAACUUACGCUAAUACCGCAUACGACCUACGUGUGAAAGCAGGGGAUCUUCUGACCUUGCGCGAUUGAAUGAGCCGAUGUCGGAUUAGCUAGUUGGCGGGGUAAAGGCCCACCAAGGCGACGAUCCGUAGCUGGUCUGAGAGGAUGAUCAGCCACACUGGAACUGAGACACGGUCCAGACUCCUACGGGAGGCAGCAGUGGGGAAUAUUGGACAAAGGGCGCAAGCCUGAUCCAGCCAUACCGCGUGGGUGAAGAAGGACUUCGGGUUGUAAAGCCCUUUUGUUGGGAAAGAAAAGCAGCAGGUUAAUACCCCGCUGUUCUGACGGUACCCAAAGAAUAAGCACCGGCUAACUUCGUG
rnacentral:rRNA from 1 species